GUUGUCAAUUCAUUCCAAUAUGAAGCCGCUCGCGGUGAUCAGAGACGCUUCGAGCAGAGGCUCCAGCCAUCUAUUUACUCCAAUAAUAACCCCGUCACGGCGAAACGUGACGCCUUGAAGUACAAUCUAACUGGAAAACCGGGGACCCUCUCCGCGAACGGGUUUUUCUCCCUAAUUUAAUGCUUUCUUUUAAUGACAUCCUUAACAUUUCUCAACAAAAACACAUGAAAGUAACACUGAUAAUUCAACAAUAAAAUCGCUUCAUUUUCCAAAGUGAUUCACGAUCUGAAAGUGCGCAGAUUUAACGUACAUAAUCCUUGGUUGGGUUUAUUAUUUUUAUUUCACACGUAAGACACAUUUAUAGUUUUAUUCACCACUCCUGUUAGUUUUGGAUGCGCUCGGCUCCAACCAAUCAGACCAAUUUACGCUAACGGCGCACUAAUCCCGUAACUGCACACUACCCAUAAGCCUCAAGCACCGUUGCUAUGGAAAUGAAGAUAAUCAACAGCUUGGUGCUACCCGUUAUUCCUUUAUUUACUCUAAAAUAAUAACCAGCGAUAAUACGAAAAUAAACUGGCCCAGUGUUUAAUUAUGUAAUUACAAAUUGCAAAUUUUAUUUUAUUUAUUUUAUUUUAUUUCAUUUUUUGCAAUAUUUAUCUACAGCGUGCCUUCAGCGACACGUCAACAGAUCUUAAGCAAGGCGAUUGGAUGGUUUUUACUGCAAUGCAUCUUGGGAGUCGUAGUAAAUGGAUCUUUCAACUCACGGUCCAGCGAAUUUUUCGACUCGACACGAGGCAGAUCUUAGCUAGGUAAGUUGUGAUAAACUGUGGGUAAUUUGCAUGUUCACUGAAAUAUUAAUCAGCUGAUAUUAAACUUGAAAUGUUUUCACAGAGCAGUCUGUGUACCAAGAGAAAUACUUCUGCAAAGGUUUAUUUAAUUUUUUUUGUGACGUAUUCUCAUGUGUAAGACACUUGCUUGGCCACCCAGCUAAUAAAUGACAAAGCCAAAAACCAAACCAUGCCCUUCCUGUCAGGCUCCAAACACCUGCAACAGGAAGACAUGCAGUGGAUGCCUGGGCAGCCUGAACGUAAAGGAGGGAUUGAAAAAAAAAAAACAAGAACAGCAACUGGGCUGCCUCUGUUAAAAUAAAAAAAAAAAACAAACAGAAAUGCGAGCAGGGUGGUUAAUUCAGCCCAGUUAUCAGUAAGGUUUCAAAACUACAUGCCCUGGGCUUCCAGCCAAUUCUGUUUCUUGGACAGUUUGACCGAAAGGGCCGUAUAGUAGGGGACGUGAUCACAUAGAGCCAGCAGAUGGUGCUGCACGUGACAUCCUCAUGAAGAUGAGGAAACUUUAUGAACACCUUCUGAGAAAAUUACAAGCUUCACCUCCUGCUAAAAGUUCUACACCAGCAGCUGGACCAUCCUCUGCUGACAGUGUCGAUGCUGGACCAGUCCCAGACCCAGAGGCUCUAAACAAGGAAUUUAUUCUUCAUUUAGAGCCUGAACCAACAUCUUCCCUCUGUCAGCCUCCUGUAUCCUCCUCUUCAU